GAUGAAGAACGUAGCGAAAUGCGAUACGUAAUGUGAAUUGCAGAAUCCAGUGAAUCAUCGAAUCUUUGAACGCACAUUGCGCCCGCCAGCAUUCUGGCGGGCAUGCCUGUUCGAGCGUCAUUUCAACCCUCGACCUCCCUUUGGGGAAGUCGGCGUUGGGGACCGGCAGCACACCGCCGGCCCUGAAAUGGAGUGGCGGCCCGUCCGCGGCGACCUCUGCGUAGUAAUCCAACUCGCACCGGAACCCCGACGCGGCCACGCCGUAAAACACCCAACUUCUGAACGUUGACCUCGAAUCAGGUAGGACUACCCGCUGAACUUAAGCAUAUCAAUAAGCGGAGGA
rnacentral:misc_RNA from 1 species